AAGGGCUAUAGCUCUUUUAGAAUUUGUCUAGCAGGUUUUCUGACUUUCCUUGGAACCCAA
ensembl:snRNA Gm23763 predicted gene, 23763